GACGAACGCUGGCGGCGUGCUUAACACAUGCAAGUCGAACGGAAAGGCCCUGCUUUUGUGGGGUGCUCGAGUGGCGAACGGGUGAGUAACACGUGAGUAACCUGCCCUUGACUUUGGGAUAACUUCAGGAAACUGGGGCUAAUACCGGAUAGGAUCUCCUGCUGCAUGGUGGGGGUUGGAAAGUUUCGGCGGUUGGGGAUGGACUCGCGGCUUAUCAGCUUGUUGGUGGGGUAGUGGCUUACCAAGGCUUUGACGGGUAGCCGGCCUGAGAGGGUGACCGGCCACAUUGGGACUGAGAUACGGCCCAGACGACUACGGGAGGCAGCAGUGGGGAAUAUUGCACAAUGGGCGGAAGCCUGAUGCAGCAACGCCGCGUGCGGGAUGACGGCCUUCGGGUUGUAAACCGCUUUCGCCUGUGACGAAGCGUGAGUGACGGUAAUGGGUAAAGAAGCACCGGCUAACUACGUG
rnacentral:rRNA from 1 species